GACGAACGCUGGCGGCGUGCUUAACACAUGCAAGUCGAACGGAAAGGCCCUGCUUUUGUGGGGUGCUCGAGUGGCGAACGGGUGAGUAACACGUGAGUAACCUGCCCUUGACUUUGGGAUAACUUCAGGAAACUGGGGCUAAUACCGGAUAGGAGCUCCUGCUGCAUGGUGGGGGUUGGAAAGUUUCGGCGGUUGGGGAUGGACUUGCGGCUUAUCAGCUUGUUGGUGGGGUAGUGGCUUACCAAGGCUUUGACGGGUAGCCGGCCUGAGAGGGUGACCAGCCACAUUGGGACUGAGAUACGGCCCAGACUCCUACGGGAGGCAGCAGUGGGGAAUAUUGCACAAUGGGCGGAAGCCUGAUGCAGCAACGCCGCGUGCGGGAUGACGGCCUUCGGGUUGUAAACCGCUUUCGCCUGUGACGAAGCGUGAGUGACGGUAAUGGGUAAAGAAGCACCGGCUAACUACGUG
rnacentral:rRNA from 1 species